GGAGGGUUGUUAAAGGUGCACCUACCCAGGCCCACCGAUGUGGGAUUGUCAGCCUGAGUUUCAGGAGUUUGCCUUUUUCCAAGCACGUGAGUGUUUGCCAGGGAGGAAGCUCAAGAAAUUCCUUAUAUGAUGAAAGAAUUGUGCAAGAGUCACAUUGUACCAGGUCCAAUGCUAAGUAUCUUCUCUAUAAUUUCUCAUCUAAUCUUACCCAACAGCCUAGGAUAUGGCUAUAAUUCUCUGUGUUCCUCCAUUUUCCAGAUGAAGAAACUUGGCCAAGGAACUUAGCCAGGAUUGGGACCCAGGUUCUAAUCAACCUGAGCAUGAUUGAGUUGUCUGUUUCCUCUCCCUGAGGAUUAACAUUUUAAAAACUAUUUCAGGGCAAGAACACAGUGGAAUGGAUCUCCAGUGGUGAUGUUUCUGGCAGCAGAACUGGCGGGAGGCUAUUACCCAAUGCUGUAGUGUCAGGAAGAGUUAAAUCUUUUUGACAGUGCAAUGGCCCCCUUUGGGUUUGCCCAAAUGGCACCUGUUGUUGAAGUCAAUAGAGCUUACAAUUUAAUUUCAUCUGCCUGCAAACAAUCUCUCUCAUUAGGGGGUGGAGUCAUGAUAGGAUUCUCCCAGCCAUGCAGUCUCACUUUCUACAGAGGUAAUGCAUGAAUACAGUCACUGUUUUCUGCAGAGAGCGAGGGAGAGUCUCACUCUACCCUCAAACUGCACAUAAUGAGAAAGGAAACCUCUGGGGAACUGGAAACAGCACACUCCCUUUCCCAUCAGAGUGGUCUGGGGAAACAUCUGAAAGCCCUUCCCCUAUACUGCCUUAGAGAAGACUUCUCACCUAUCUGAGUGAAGACAAGUGGGCCAGAAGAGGAUGCAUAUGUGGUGAUCACAGAGGGAACUGUGACAUCUCCAGGAAUGCUGGGGCAGAUAAAUACAGGCAAGUAGGACUGGGGCUGAUGUACCUUCAUCUCAGGCGACAUGAGAUGCAGAGGUGAUGGUGACUACAGAUAAGGUAAGUCCUCCAUAGAUAAAGCUCUUUGGAUAAAGCCAUAGAAACUCUGGUUUGCCUGAGCUUACCCUAAGAUGAAGCUUCUGUUACCAAUAGCAAGAGGGGUUUGAGACAGAAACAUAAAAAUAAAGAUCUAUUUGUUUGCUCA
rnacentral:lncRNA from 12 species